UACGGGGGGGGCAAGCGUUGUUCGGAAUUACUGGGCGUAAAGGGCUCGUAGGCGGCCAACUAAGUCGGACGUGAAAUCCCUCGGCUUAACCGGGGAACUGCGUCCGAUACUGGAUGGCUUGAGUUCGGGAGAGGGAUGCGGAAUUCCAGGUGUAGCGGUGAAAUGCGUAGAUAUCCGGAGGAACACCGGUGGCGAAGGCGGCUUCCUGGACCGACACUGACGCUGAGGCGCGAAAGCUAGGGGAGCAAACGGG
rnacentral:rRNA from 1 species